UCUAACUUUUAGAGGUGCGAACCAUUACUCUUUUUCCAAUGUUUUGAAAGACAUUCAAAUUCUUUAUAAAAAGAAUAUGCUUCAUACCUUUGAGUCAAAAGACACAGCUCUCUCUCUCUCUCGCUCUCGGUCAUCAGCGACGACGAACGACGAUUAAGAGAUGACAAAUUCAAGUGUUAAUGGUACUAGCUCAGAUCACUUGACAUAUUACAACAAAAAUUGUUAUAAAUGUCAUAAAAGAGCAGGUAUUCAAUGGAGCUUGCCUACAAAUUCGCUAUGUAGAGGUGAUGAAAUUGCAAGACAGCUAGAAGCAGUGCAAAUGGACAAUGUGCAAAUUGUCAAUGAACAACUUCAAUUUCGGAUCGCAGUGCAAAUGGACAAUGUGCAAAUUGUCAAUGAACAACUUCAAUUUCUGAUCGCGAAGAUUCAAAAAUUGGAAACUGACAUUAUGUUUAUUAAAUAUGGGUUAAUUGUGGCCUUGAUUGUGUUUGGUUCCUUGUUAGUUAUGAAGAUGUGAUGAUGUAUGCAAGUUAGUCAUCUACUUUAAGAGCAGUCUCAGCGAACGGCAUACUUUUUGGCCGUACAAUGGGCAAGGCAGAAUAGUUUGUUUUGGAUAGAAGCUCGGACAGAUCAGGGUUAAGUGUGGCGUAGUUUUCUUUUAGGUUUUUGCAUUUGCUCUUGUUUAUGGUUGUAUUACAUUUAGAUUAUAUGAACAUUGGUUUCACAAAUAAUAAACGUGAGACAAGACUUUAGUUACCA